rnacentral:pre_miRNA from 1 species
UGGACAGAUUAUUAUUAUUCGACUGUAUUCACUGCGUGAAAUAGAGGAUUACACUAUUUUUAAAACGAAAAGUGAAUCAAUUAACAUAAUAGACUCCU